UCGUGCUAGACGGGGCGGUAGCGGUGCCCUGUACCCGCAAUCCGCUAUAGCGGGGUCGAAUUCCCAUCAGAGGAUUGGUCUUGUGGAGUCUGGUUUGGAUAAGUGGUGUUGACGAUUGGGUCUUACGCAAUAGGAAUCCAUGAACCCCGUCAGGUCCGGAAGGAAGCAGCGGUAAGUGGAAGUUCUUAUGUGCCGUGAGGGUGCCUGGUUCGAGCUAACUACCCAAAUAUCGUCCGGAGGACUCUCUUCGAAGAUGGGUGCACGA
rnacentral:SRP_RNA from 1 species